ACUCCUACGGGAGGCAGCAGUGGGGAAUAUUGCACAAUGGGCGCAAGCCUGAUGCAGCCAUGCCGCGUGUGUGAAGAAGGCCUUCGGGUUGUAAAGCACUUUCAGUCGUGAGGAAGGUAGUGUAGUUAAUAGCUGCAUUAUUUGACGUUAGCGACAGAAGAAGCACCGGCUAACUCCGUGCCAGCAGCCGCGGUAAUACGGAGGGUGCGAGCGUUAAUCGGAAUUACUGGGCGUAAAGCGCAUGCAGGUGGUUUGUUAAGUCAGAUGUGAAAGCCCGGGGCUCAACCUCGGAAUUGCAUUUGAAACUGGCAGACUAGAGUACUGUAGAGGGGGGUAGAAUUUCAGGUGUAGCGGUGAAAUGCGUAGAGAUCUGAAGGAAUACCGGUGGCGAAGGCGGCCCCCUGGACAGAUACUGACACUCAGAUGCGAAAGCGUGGGGAGCAAACAGGAUUAGAUACCC
rnacentral:rRNA from 1 species